rnacentral:rRNA from 1 species
UAACAAGGAUUCCCCCAGUAACGGCGAGUGAAGAGGGAACAGCCCAAAUUUGUAAUCUGGCCCUUUUAGGGUCCGAGUUGUAAUCUCGAGAACUGUUUUCCGUGCCGGACCAUGUACAAGUCUGUUGGAAUAUAGCUUCAUAGAGGGUGAGAAUCCCGUACAUGACAUGGACCACCGGUGCUUUGUGAUACAGUCUCUAAGAGUCGAGUUGUUUGGGAAUGCAGCUCAAAUUGGGUGGUAAAUUCCAUCUAAGGCUAAAUAUUGGCGAGAGACCGAUAGCGAACAAGUACCGUGAGGGAAAGAUGAAAAGCACUUUGGAAAGAGAGUUAACAGUACGUGAAAUUGUUGAAAGGGAAACGCUUGAAGUCAGCCUUGUUCUUGGUUGUUCAGCCUUAGGGCGUAUUCAACUUUGAGCAGGCCAGCAUCAGUUUUGGGUGCCGGAUAAGGGCUUGGGAAAUGUGGCAGCUUAGGCUGUGUUAUAGUCCUUUGCUUGAUACGGUGCCUGGGACUGAGGAACGCAGCGAGCCUUUUGGCGGGUCCCCUUGGGGGCCUUCUCGCUUUGGAUGCUGGCGUAAUGGCUUUAAACGAC